GAUUGUGCCAAGGGGACUCAGAACUGAGACCACAAGACUUGUUUCUGAAGUGGAGUGAAGAAGGAAAGAGAGACGUGAGGUGACAGCUGACUGAGGAAACAAAACGAACUCACUGUAGCUUUGCUGUUUGCUUGGAGUCAAAUACAUCUGAAUAGACAAACCCAGCCCACCCCACACACCCCCCCCAACCCUUCUGAGGCAAUAACAACUGCCAAAUAACAAUUAAGGAUCUGACCACAAACCGAGAGGAGCACUAACACAGAAACAGAGGACUUCCCAAAAGAGCAGAAAGAGAGAGAGAGAGACAGAGAGAGAGAGGGAGAGAAAAGAGAGACUGGACAAGUUUGGAAUGACUGGACUAAACAAAAAGAAAAGAAACCGCUCGGGAGAAAGAACCAAGGCGUGAGAUUUGGGUGUACGUGUUUCUUUUGUGUUUUCUCUCUUUGAACUCAGUACAACAUCAUGUCUUGUUGAUAAGACUGCACUUUAUUUUAAGAGUACUGUUUUUUUCUUCAAUGCCACACACUUGAGUGAGUCAGAGAAGAUACUUUAAAAAAAAAAAAAAAAAAAACCUCUCUCUUCUCUCACACAAACCCAGAGGACAACCACUCCCUCAGUGUGCCUGGGCUGGGCAGAUCCCACCAACACAGCAGACAUGUCUGAUUCAACGAGUCUCACUGAAGCCAAGGAGCAGACCUUGGACAUACUGGAAAAGAUCUGGGUGAAGCUACAGGGUCUACCACACGCCAACCCCAUUGAGCUCGGAGCCUUCCUCAUCCUCGUCAUCUUCGUCUUGACAUUCCUAGGACUGGCAGUGCUGGCCUGUGUUCAGUGUUGCUGCAGUUGUGGAAAACGGCAGAGACACAAGGACUCCGUCAUCUGAAAAGAGUCAAUAAACAAGUACCUGGGGUCACACCCCUCACCCCCUGUUACAGAACUGCGUCAGGUACACCAUGGAAAGAAAAGAAAAAGGGAAAGAGCGAGACCCAGACUGUAAACAAACAAUGGGAGAAUGCCACUCUACAUGCCAUAAAAGCCCAAACCAACAGGACUGCCAACAUUCUGCUGGUGACUUUACAUCUCUGUGUGUCCACUGACACCUUCAGCUGUGACAAUGACCAAAUAUUACUGGAAUAAAAAACACGAAGACAAAAGGGUGCUAACCGUUAUAACAUGAGCAUUCACUUAUGCGUGUUACUCAUAGACCGUGCUGUUUAUUAAACUGCGAUUGUUUUCUUACUGAGACCAACUUAUGCCUCUAAAAAGUUUGCCUGUGGUUAAAAUAUGACUCUUAAUCAGUGUCCUUGAGCUUUCUAGAUAACAAAAGCUUUCAAAAUUCCAAAUGGACUAUGUGUGGUUCGUAGGGUGACUAAGUAUACUCGAUGCUCAGAACUGCCCUCUUGUGGCAGUUUAUAGUAGUAAAGCUACUCUGUGACUCUUUGAAGAGUAAGAUAAGGCCUACUCUUGAUGCUAAUCGUUAAAAAACAGUUACAUACCAUGAAGGAUUUUAUUUCAGUAUAAACAUUAAAUACAGACUGCUGAAGCCUAAAUGACCGUACAGGUUGAGUAUCCCUUAUCCAAAAUGUCUGGGACCACAAGUGUUUUGGACUUUGGAUUUUUUCAGAUUUUGGGAAUACAGUACUUGAAUAUACAUAAUGAGAUAUCUUGAUGCCAACAGAGCAUCAGAGCCCCACAUGGGCAAGUGGAGUCAUGUCGGCGCUCAAAAAGUUUCGGAUUUUGGGACAUUUCGGAUUUUCGGAUUAGGGAUGCUCAGCCUGUACCAUGUUGAAUAAUAUGUGAAAGGAUUUCAAAAUACUUUCAUUAUAUUGUUUUAUGGCUUUAAAUUGUGUCUGUAUGGUGUAUCUAGUGACUAGAUUUCAUAUAUUUUGGGAGUGAAACGUUAUGGGGGUUUUUUCCACAGUGUACCUGUAUUUGAUGAAGCAUGCUUUAAAAUGGUUUGAAAACUAUUGGGGCCAAUGUGACAGUAUGAGUUGGCCUAACAGAGUGAGUGUUCAUUUAACAAU